rnacentral:rRNA from 1 species
CAGCAGUAGGGAAUCUUCCACAAUGGACGAAAGUCUGAUGGAGCAACGCCGCGUGAGUGAAGAAGGGUUUCGGCUCGUAAAACUCUGUUGUUAAAGAAGAACAUAUCUGAGAGUAACUGUUCAGGUAUUGACGGUAUUUAACCAGAAAGCCACGGCUAACUACGUGCCGG